GAUGAACGCUGGCGGCGUGCUUAACACAUGCAAGUCGAACGAGAAGUGGAGACGGACACCUUCGGGCGGAAGACUUUAUUUCGAGUGGCGGACGGGAGAGUAACGCGUGGGUAACCUGCCUCAUACAGGGGGAUAACAGUUGGAAACGACUGUUAAUACCGCAUAAGACCACAGCACCGCAUGGUGCGGGGGUAAAAACUCCGGUGGUAUGAGAUGGACCCGCGUUCGAUUAGCCAGUUGGCGGGGUAACGGCCCACCAAAGCGACGAUCGAUAGCCGAUCUGUGAGGAUGACCGGCCACAUUUGGACUGGGACACGGCCCAAACUCCUACGGGAGGCAGCAGUGGGGAAUAUUGCACAAUGGGGGAAACCCUGAUGCAGCGACGCCGCGUGAGUGAAGAAGUAUUUCGGUAUGUAAAGCUCUAUCAGCAGGGAAGAAAAUGACGGUACCUGAGUAAGAAGCCCCGGCUAACUACGUG
rnacentral:rRNA from 1 species